rnacentral:tRNA from 3 species
UGGGGUGUAGCCAAGUGGUAAGGCAGCGGGUUUUGAUCCCGUCAUUCGCAGGUUCGAUCCCUGCCACCCCAGCCA